rnacentral:rRNA from 1 species
GGAAUCUUCCACAAUGGACGCAAGUCUGAUGGAGCAACGCUGCGUGUGUGAAGAAGGCUUUCGGGUCGUAAAACUCUGUUAUUGAAGAAGAACGGGAGUGAGAGUAACUGCUCAUGCAGUGACGGUAUUCAACCAGAAAGUCACGGCUAACUACGUGCCAGCAGCCGCGGUAAUACGUAGGUGGCAAGCGUUGUCCGGAUUUAUUGGGCGUAAAGCGAGUGCAGGCGGUUUUUUAAGUCUGAUGUGAAAGCCUUCGGCUUAACCGAAGAAGUGCAUCGGAAACUGGGAAACUUGAGUGCAGAAGAGGAGAGUGGAACUCCAUGUGUAGCAGUGAAAUGCGUAGAUAUAUGGAAGAACACCAGUGGCGAAGGCGGCUCUCUGGUCUGUAACCGACGCUGAGGCUCGAAAGCGUGGGUAGCA